rnacentral:lncRNA from 1 species
AUGAACCAAAUUACCGUCCAACUCAAAUAAAUGCCUCGCUUAAUUGUCCAGCAAAUUUUGAUUAAAGGAUGUUAUCGCUUAGCUUCAUAUGCAGAUAAACAGAACAUAUACAAUAUAUACAAUAUAUAUAAUAACCCUGUCACAUUCACAAUUAAAUUAAUUGCAAGCAAAUCAGUAUGUUAAACUAUUACAUUGUUUCGAUCUUUUUUCAUUGUGUCGCAUUGUUUAUACAUUUUAUGUUUGUACCUGCACGUGUAGUUGCGGUGAGAGCGCGUGGGAAAGGCGGGGUCGAGAAGGGUGGCGUCACGCAUCAGGGCGGGGCCACACUAUGCAGCAGCUCAAAGAAGAGCAAGAGGCAGCGCGCUGGAAUUUGGCAACAGAUAUUCAGAUGCAUCACAACUCUUCCGAUUGCAAUAUGGAUUGACACAGCGCCCACUGAGAUAUUCGGUGACAGUGUGAAUGCUAAGCAAACACGGACCAAGAGAACGAAACUACUUUUGUAA